rnacentral:rRNA from 1 species
UACGUAGGGUGCAAGCGUUGUCCGGAAUUAUUGGGCGUAAAGAGCUCGUAGGCGGUCUGUCGCGUCGGAUGUGAAAAUUCAGGGCUUAACCCUGGACCUGCAUUCGAUACGGGCAGACUAGAGUUCGGUAGGGGAGACUGGAAUUCCUGGUGUAGCGGUGAAAUGCGCAGAUAUCAGGAGGAACACCGGUGGCGAAGGCGGGUCUCUGGGCCGAUACUGACGCUGAGGAGCGAAAGCGUGGGGAGCGAACAGG